AUUGAACGCUGGCGGCAUGCCUUACACAUGCAAGUCGAACGGCAGCACGGGGCAACCUGGUGGCGAGUGGCGAACGGGUGAGUAAUACAUCGGAACGUGCCCAAUCGUGGGGGAUAACGUAGCGAAAGUUACGCUAAUACCGCAUACGAUCUACGGAUGAAAGCGGGGGAUCGCAAGACCUCGCGCGAAUGGAGCGGCCGAUGUCAGAUUAGGUAGUUGGUGGGGUAAAGGCUCACCAAGCCGACGAUCUGUAGCUGGUCUGAGAGGACGACCAGCCACACUGGGACUGAGACACGGCCCAGACUCCUACGGGAGGCAGCAGUGGGGAAUUUUGGACAAUGGGCGCAAGCCUGAUCCAGCCAUUCCGCGUGCAGGAUGAAGGCCUUCGGGUUGUAAACUGCUUUAGUACGGAACGAAACGGUGAGCUCUAAUACAGUUUGCUAAUGACGGUACCGUAAGAAUAAGCACCGGCUAACUACGUGCCAGCAGCCGCAGUAAAAC
rnacentral:rRNA from 1 species